AGGGGAUACGUUAGAUUGGCUUACGUGGAAUGGGCUGGGGAGCCCAGCAAUGGCUGUCUGACCUCUAGAGAGGCCGAGAAUGCUACAAUCAGCUCAGUCCGUGGGACUGGAUGCCUCAAUAGGCCUAGGCUGGCACUGAAGGCUGGAGAUUCUAGGAGAGCAGUGGGUCUCAGUUUACAUUGGAAGGCUGAUGAAGCUGGGUUCUGACCGCUGCCACGAUAGCUGAGAGCAAGCAGGAGCAGUGACGUGAACCAGAGAGACUCUUAUCAGCAGGAAAGGAAGGCAGGUGAGCUUCCUUCUUUCUAUCUGGGCAGCUGCUGGAAGGUGCCACCCACUGUGGGAGGGUCUUCCUGCCCCAGUUAGUCCUUCCUGGAAAUCCCCUCACAGACACUCCUCCCCAUACCUUGCACGUCCCUUAAUUUCAGAUCCAAUCCAGUUGACGACCAAGACUAACCAUCGCAUGUGUGGACUGAGAUCAUCAUAUGUGGAUGCUGGCUGACUGCUGGAACCCAACCAGGAAUAAAGCUCUGUGAGCCCCACCCCAAUGGCUCCGUGGAGGAGCCUUUGCGAGGAAGCACCUGAACUGCUCCCAGCUCCCCCUGAGUGGGCUCCAUGGCCUAAGAUAGCUACUGAAGGGACCUUCCAUCCAGAAGGACCCACACCUACCACAGUGCCCUGCUGCCUUCCAGACUAUCUGUUAGACCUUGGUCAUCUCUGGUCAUUUGUCAGGCCUGGCCAAUCCACUCCAGAAUAGUGUGUGUUCACCAACAGUGUGUUAUCUCCAGGGACCCAACCAAGGGAGCCGACUGGUGCAUUCUGGCAUUCUGUGGACAGCCCAACGCCAACUUCACCCGGCUGGGUGAUAUUGGCCUCCUUACAUGCUGCCUUGGCUGGAAACCAGGCAGGGGAAUGAGCAGUGGGCAGAGGGCCUCCACAGCCCUUCUCCCACUCCCCACCCUCCCCUUUCCAUGCUUCCUUUGUGGACAGAGGCCACUGAGUGCUUGUUGUUCACGGUAAGCAUCCCUUUUAGGGAGUCCUGAGCAAUAUUUUUUCCUACCUUCAAAAUUCUCUCUGGCAACACCCUUCUUCCUGUCAUAAUGGCUCCCUAUGGUCCAAACAGCACGUGUACCACCCUGAGUAGUACUUAAGGCCAAGAAUCAUGUCUCAUAUAUUUUUGUGUCUCCCGCCUUUAAAUUGCAGCAGGGUUCUGGGUAAUGGCUGUCCCAUGAAUGUUGUCUAGAUCAGAGUAAGACCUUUCUAUCUUGUCCAGCCUGCUGCUAAAUGUCUUGCUGGAUUUUAAACUGCUGCUGGACACCUCACUGAUACUAGAUGUCAAGACACCCGGUGCUGAAUGCUGAGGAGAGGCGACAGUACUUGAGAGCCAUCAUUAGCCCUGGGUGUGUCCAAGUUCUGUCUCCACGUGGAAUGAGUGGAGGCAGUGUUCUGGAAGGAGCUGCUUCUAGCAGGCAGAGAUGGAUAUGUGCUGCUGUUCCGUGAUCUCAGAACUUUAGAAGCCAGGCCCCCAUGUGAGCUUCCAGGAUGAUGGUGCCAAGGACGCCAGUCAUCAGAGUGGCUGGGAAUGGAACAGUAUCCCGGAAAGUCUCAGAGAAGCCCUGCAUGAGCACAGAACUGUGGGAUGGCAGAGCAAGUGGGUUACCCAAAAAUAGCAGCACUGCUUUCCCGUGGUGAAGGAUUAGUUCUCUGGCAUCCAUUGUGGGACACUUAGUGCAAGAUUGCAUAUCUAUGGAAAGGCA
rnacentral:lncRNA from 1 species